rnacentral:tRNA from 1 species
GCCGGCGUCGCUCAACUGGCAGAAGCACCGCGUUUAGGGCGCGGAAAGUGUGGGUUCGAAUCCCACCGCCGGCA